CGGCGGGGCGGUAAAGCGUACACAUGACAAGUCGAGCGGAUGAGAGGAGCUUGCUCCUCGAUUCAGCGGCGGACGGGUGAGUAAUGCCUAGGAAUCUGCCUAGUAGUGGGGGACAACGUUUCGAAAGGAACGCUAAUACCGCAUACGUCCUACGGGAGAAAGUGGGGGAUCUUCGGACCUCACGCUAUUAGAUGAGCCUAGGUCGGAUUAGCUAGUUGGUAGGGUAAAGGCCUACCAAGGCGACGAUCCGUAACUGGUCUGAGAGGAUGAUCAGUCACACUGGAACUGAGACACGGUCCAGACUCCUACGGGAGGCAGCAGUGGGGAAUAUUGGACAAUGGGCGAAAGCCUGAUCCAGCCAUGCCGCGUGUGUGAAGAAGGCCCUCGGGUCGUAAAGCACUUUAAGUUGGGAGGAAGGGCUUACAGCGAAUACCUGUGAGUUUUGACGUUACCGACAGAAUAAGCACCGGCUAACUUCGUGCCAGCAGCCGCGGUAAUACGAAGGGUGCAAGCGUUAAUCGGAAUUACUGGGCGUAAAGCGCGCGUAGGUGGCUUGAUAAGUUGGAUGUGAAAUCCCCGGGCUCAACCUGGGAACUGCAUCCAAAACUGUCUGGCUAGAGUGCGGUAGAGGGUAGUGGAAUUUCCAGUGUAGCGGUGAAAUGCGUAGAUAUUGGAAGGAACACCAGUGGCGAAGGCGACUACCUGGACUGACACUGACACUGAGGUGCGAAAGCGUGGGGAGCAAACAGGAUUAGAUACCCUGGUAGUCCACGCCGUAAACGAUGUCAACUAGCCGUUGGGAUCCUUGAGAUCUUAGUGGCGCAGCUAACGCAUUAAGUUGACCGCCUGGGGAGUACGGCCGCAAGGUUAAAACUCAAAUGAAUUGACGGGGCCCGCACAAGCGGUGGAGCAUGUGGUUUAAUUCGAAGCAACGCGAAGACCUUACCUGGCCUUGACAUGCUGAGAACUUUCCAGAGAUGGAUUGUGCCUUCGGACUCAGACACAGGUGCUGCAUGCUGUCGUCAGCUCGGUGCUUGGAAUGUAGGUAGUCCCGUACCGACGCACCAUUGUCUUAGUACCAGCCAUUAUGGUGGGCACUCUAGGAACUUCGGUGACAACGGAGAAGUGGGAUGACGUCAGUCUACUAUGGCUUACGUCAGGCUACACACGGUCUCAUGUCCGUCAAAGUUCAGCGUAAGUGUGACCUAUUCUAAUAACGCAGCUGGUAUC
rnacentral:rRNA from 1 species